UAACCAUUUUGUUGUUGGAGGUAAUUAGCUGGAAUCACAUUAUCUGCUGCUCUGAUUUAUUUCUUACAACAGAUCGUUUCACUCGAUGAUGUAAAUUAAUCUGUGUUGACUUUUGUUUUGUUUUUUAAAGAUGGGUGUCAUGCAACCACGAAAGCUACAGCAGCUGGCCAUCUAAGAAACUUUCCCUCUCUUUCUCUUUCAUUCUUCUUUUGCACUCUUUUUAUCCUCUCAGCAACUUUUCUCACAUGGUUCUCAGACCCUGGAACCUCACGCUUUUUAUCAUGCAUUCGUGAAUUCCUUGGAGUUGGUACAAUCAUCUUAAAGACAAAGAGGCUUGUGUUUUAUUCAAUUGGCGACCUUUUGAAAAAAAGUCUUCAAUUAACCAUUAACCUGGAAUGUGGGAGGAAGAUGGAGUACCAAGAAAAAGCCCACAUAAGGAUUGGGAGAACAUGCAAACUGCACAAAGGACAUUUGAACCCAGAACCUUGCAAGUGUGAGCCAGGUGGCUGCGUGCAUUCUCAACAACGUCUCAGUCAUGGAACCGAAACGGCGGAGAGACCGCAACUCUGCCUCGUGACCUUUUGUUCUGUCACGCGCAGAAACGCAAGCGCAAACUGUCAAACAAUAAAAGCAGCGA